rnacentral:ncRNA from 2 species
UCCGCUGCGAGGCGGAAUCUGAGGGAAGCUGGAGGCAAACGCACGGCUCGAGGUACGAAUCCAAUUUGAGGCGGUUACAGCCGGAUGGGUCACCAGUUCAUGACGAAAUCCAAAGCUGCCAAAGGCUGUGGCCGUAUACUUCGGCGAGCGCGGGCGGAAAGAUGGCGUU